rnacentral:rRNA from 1 species
AUGGCGCAGCCGCACAGGCGCGUGCUCCGCGUGGCUCCGCCGGGCUCCGCAGGAGGGGGCGGGGACGGGGAGGCGUUCCCCACGGUGCAGGCCGCGGUGGACGCCGUGCCGCUGGGCAACAGGGAGCGUACCGUCAUCCGCCUCGCCCCGGGGGUGUACCGGGAGCCCGUCUACGUCCCCAAGACCAAGAACUUCAUCACCCUCGCCGGCGCGUCCGCCGAGGCCACCGUCAUCUCCUGGGACAACACCGCCACCCGCAUCAAGCACGCCCAGACAUCCAGGGUCAUUGGGACAGGAACAUUUGGCUGUGGAACGGUUAUCGUCGAGGGAGAGGAUUUCAUUGCAGAGAAUAUCACGUUUCAGAACUCAGCUCCUCAGGGAUCCGGGCAAGCAGUCGCAGUCCGGGUAACAGCAGAUAAGUGUGCCUUCUAUGGUUGCCGGUUCCUUGGUUGGCAGGAUACAUUAUAUUUACAUUAUGGAAAACAAUACUUGAGAGACUGUUACAUUGAGGGUAACUGUGACUUCAUCUUUGGUAACUCUAUUGCCCUUCUGGAACAUUGCCAUAUACAUUGCAAAUCAGCGGGAUUUAUUACUGCCCAUAGUCGGAAAUCCUCUUCAGAGUCGACUGGCUACGUGUUCCUAAGGUGUAUUAUUACAGGAAACGGAGAAGCUGGAUAUAUAUUCCUGGGUCGGCCAUGGGGGCCCUUUGGGAGGGUUGUCUUUGCGCACACUUUUAUGGAUCGCUGUGUUAAGGCCACUGGGUGGCAUAAUUGGGACAAAUCUGAGAAUGAAAGAACCGCUUGCUUCUAUGAGUACAGGUGCUCAGGGCCCGGUUCCCGGUCAUCAAGCAGGGUGUCUUGGUGUAGAGAAUUGCUUGACCUUGAAGCAGAACAGUUCCUUACACACUCCUUCGUUGAUCCAGACCUUGAUAGACCAUGGCUUCUCCAGAUGAUGGCGAUAAAGAUACCAGCUUCAGCGUAG